rnacentral:lncRNA from 1 species
AAUCUUGAUUCAUGUAUCUGCAUAUUUAGUUUGCUUUUGUUAUGCAUGUUGCAUAGGUUAGAGAGUAGCUAGUCCGGUGAAGUUUCAGCGGAGGCAUGCGGAUACGGCGAGAUGCCGGGCUGCCAAUGACGGCGUGAAGGCGCGGUGCCGUGUGAUACGGCGCAAGGCUUGAUGCCGGGGUGGUAUAGCCGUGGGAAGCGGCGAUACGCGUGCAGGAUGAAGCCAAACCGGCUGGCUGGAUAGAUCAAGUUGGAGCCAGGAGAAUUGGUCAGGUUGCAUGCAGUCGGUUAGUUGAACGGCUUGGCCGUGUAGUCUGGACGUGGGCGUGCAUGUAGUGCAUGUAGCUAGGGAUUAGUUAGUGGUGCGUGCGUGGGUUAGUGGCCGGUGUGGCCGUGGCUGUGUGUGCGCGUGAGUCUCUAUAUAAGAGAUGUAAAGCUUGUUGUUUGAGUGAAGCCGAGAGGGCUGGGAAAAACAAUGUAGUGUGUGUGUUCACCAAGGAGCAGACCCUCUUGGCAAAGCAGCGGAUGUCUUCUCUUUGGUGUAUGCGCGUGUGUGUGUGUGUGGAGUUUCACCAUGACCGUGUAGUGUGUGUUCUUGAGAGAGACAAAGAGAGAUGGAGAUUGAGUUGUGAGAGGCAGCUCAGGAGGAAGAAGAAGCGGUGCUGCAAGGAGAGAUGGCGCCAACAAUUGGUAUACAGAGCCAGGUUGAUCCGCGGCGGCGGCGGCGACGUGGUGGACUCCAUGGGAGGUGGAGGACGCCGGCGCGAGGUGAUGGCUGGCAGCGGCGCGAUGCCGCGGGCGGCCGGUUGCGGUGCGAUGCCGCGAGAUGAAGGUGGUGCGAUGAUCGGCGUCGCGAGGACGUCAUCCACGACAAGAUGGUCCGUGGUGACCGGCGCUGCGACGGCGUCGGUUGUGGCGCGACGGACUUCAUGCGAGAUGGAGGCCGACGGCGCAAGAAGGAGGAUGGUGGCCAUGCGGUGCCGCUAUGUGAAGAUGGCGGUGCGAAGCUGCCACAAGAAGAGUCGGCGUGAUGCCGACGACGGUGGUGUGAUGCCAUCGUCAUCUUGGAAAGUUGGUGUGAAGCCAACAAAAGUUGCGGUGGGAUGCCGCUUGGCGAAGACGGCGUGGUGAUCGGCGCUGCGACAGCGUCGUCCACGUCAAGAGGUGGCCGCUGCGUGCGGCAAGAGUACAUGGUGAUGGACGCGGGCGCUGCGAUGGCGUCGGUCCAGGCAAGGUGUGCAGCGCCGCGAUUGUGUCGUCAAGUGGCAGCGGGUGAACCGCGUGAAGAUUGGAGAAUCAAGAUUAGGAGGGAAAAUGUUAGGUUUAAUCUUGAUUCAUGUAUCUGCAUAUUUAGUUUGCUUUUGUUAUGCAUGUUGCAUAGGUUAGAGAGUAGCUAGUCCGGUGAAGUUUCAGCGGAGGCAUGCGGAUACGGCGAGAUGCCGGGCUGCCGAUGACGGCGUGAAGGCGCGGUGCCGUGUGAUACGGCGCAAGGCUUGAUGCCGGGGUGGUAUAGCUGUGGGAAGCGGCGAGACGCGUGCAGGAUGAAGCCAAACCGGCUGGCUGGAUAGAUCAAGUUGGAGCCAGGAGAAUUGGUCAGGUUGCAUGCAGUCGGUUAGUUGAACGGCUUGGCCGUGUAGUCUGGACGUGGGCGUGCAUGUAGUGCAUGUAGCUAGGGAUUAGUUAGUGGUGCGUGCGUGGGUUAGUGGCCGGUGUGGCCGUGGCUGUGUGUGCGCGUGAGUCUCUAUAUAAGAGAUGUAAAGCUUGUUGUUUGAGUGAAGCCGAGAGGGCUGGGAAAAACAAUGUAGUGUGUGUGUUCACCAAGGAGCAGACCCUCUUGGCAAAGCAGCGGAUGUCUUCUCUUUGGUGUAUGCGUGUGUGUGUGUGUGGAGUUUCACCAUGACCGUGUAGUGUGUGUUCUUGAGAGAGACAAAGAGAGAUGGCGAUUGAGUUGUGAGAGGCAGCUCAGGAGGAAGAAGAAGCGGUGCUGCAAGAAGAGAUGGCGCCAACAAUAAUGAGUGGGUCUGGCCAGCUCGUCACUUCUCUUCUUCUAAUUCUUGACGCACAUGCAUAGGCAAUAGUUAAUUCCACGAAGGUCCCACAAUUGAGGUAGUGCGAGCGAAUUGGUAUCACUUUACGUAAUUUUUACACGUCAAUAUCAAGACCGGGACACGCGGCUAUCAGUGGCGGAGCUUGAAAGAAAAAGUUGGGCGGGCCAGAAUAAAGGAG